UGCACCACAUUAUUUGGUGGUCAGUUAUUAAUGCUUUACAUAGUAAACGUUUUUCAUUUGAAGGAAUGGGUUUCUAUAGUUGUGUACUAUGAUUGGCCAGUUGAAUGUCCAAAGUAACAUAAAUUCUCACGUGCCACCCACUUUUCACACAUUAACACACACAGUACUGUGUGUGUCUUUUGUCUCUCCCACCACCCCCACCACCCCCUUAAUGCUGGCUUGACCAUUCUCUCCCAAAACCCAAUCAAUAUUCCUUCUAUUUGUCCUCUCUUUUUUCUGUACCUUUGUUUUGUUUUUUUUUGUUUGAUCGAUUGAUUAUUAUUCUUGGUGUUGAUCAUAGUCCUAUGAUGAUUCACGUUUGUAAGCUUCUUAAAAUUCUUGGAUUUUUGUAUUUUACAGUUUUUGGUAUAGUUAUUUAUUGUGUUGUAUUAUGUUUUUUCAGGAUUGGAAAUUGAUGAGUUAAAGCUGAGAUCUUUUUGCUCCUCAAAUGUUGCCCCAAAGGUCAAAACUUUAACUUGGUAUACUUUGUAUUUUUUGAGAAACAAAAUUCUUGAUUUAGUUAUUUAUUGUGCUUUGUUAUGGUUUUUCAGGAUUGGAAAAUGAUGAGUAAAUAUGGGAUUUUUUGCUCCUCAUAUAUUGCUCCAAAGGUCUAAUCUAUAACUUGGUAUCCUCCUAUAUCUUUAGAGAAACCAGAUUCUUGAUUUAGUUAUUUAUUUUGCUUUGUUAUGGUUUUUCAGGAUUGGAAAUUGGUGAGUUAAAUGUGAAAUGUUUUGCUCCUCAAAUAUUGCUCUGAAGGUCAAAACUUUAACUUGGUAUUCUCCUCUAUCUUUUGAGAAACAAGAUUCUUGAUUUGGGUUUUUGGCUGACUUGUGGUUGGAAUCAAGAAAAUCUAUGUGUGGUAUAUUUACCAUUUGCUAAUUGACUAAGAGGGGUCCCUGGUUAUUUCAUUUUUUGGUUGAUUUUCCCUCAAGUUUAUCUGGGGUUUCAUUAUCUUUUGAAAAUCUUUCCCUUGAGAGAUUACUGAGAAUAACCAGAUGUUGGGAUUUGGAUUACUUGAUAAGCGCCCGUUGGAUAAUAUUUUGAUGCAGUUUGGAGGUUUAAGUUGCAUAAUUGAUUUGCUUGGUUUAUAGCAUUUGUUUUUUUGGGACCUGUUAGAAGUCUAACUGUAUUAGAAGUCUAGUCUAAACUGUAUUAGGAGUAGGCUAGGUU
rnacentral:lncRNA from 1 species